GGGAAAGGCGGAGGUCGGAAGCGCCAGCUCCCCGAACGGAAGCAAAAUUGCCAGGACGUGAGAACCCGCCCCCUUUGCCGGAACUAUCGCAUCUUCCAACGGAAAUCUAGUUGCCAAAAGAGGUGGAAAUGCGUCAUUGAAUCCAGCUCACCCAGGGUUGGGAAUGAAGAAGUGAAGACAGUGCUACCCUGAUCAACCGAGGGAAGAAGGAGGGUUCAGGAGGCCAAACCCUGCCCGUGGAGUUCCCCGGAACUCAUGAGGAAGAGCAGGCUAGAGAUCCCAUCAGAUCUGGAGCUGCUGGCCUACGCCACAGCCACAGCAACACCAGAUCCAAGCCGGUUCUGCGACCUACACCACAGCUCACAGCAACGCUGGAUCCUUAACCCACUGAGCGAGGCCAGGGACCGACCCCUCGUCCUCAGGGAAUGCUAGUCAGGUUCAUUACCGCUGAGCCAUGACGGGACCUCCUGCAUUUAGAUUUUUAGCGAACAUCUACUUCGCGCCUCACCUCAAGUCAGUUGCUGGGGAGAAGCAGAAAGGAGGCGUGGGCUGGGCUAGUGCGCAGGUGGACUCAGCCCACCCCUAGUGAGGCUCCCUGCCUGGACUUCUGGGAGAGGCUUGAAUGAGCCUUGAAGGAGAUACCUGACUAUCAAAGGAGGGGGCGAAACAGCAUCCCGAGCCAAGGAAAUGACAUUGUGAAAGCCUCCAAGAUGUUUGGGGUUCAUGACUCCUUGGCACAGUUAAGGCCUGGGGUCCACGGGACAGUCGGGGGAGAGAUGAAGUGAUGAGGCCGAAACCAGAGCAGCGGCUGACUGCACCUCAGGAGUCUGCGGGGGAAGGACUUUGUGGACGUGGCGAUUAUCUCAACUGUUUGUGGGGCAAUCACAGGAGCAUCUGGGGAGAAAACUGGCCCCAGAAGGAAAAGGGCUGCAGGCGGGAAGACCAGAAAGGAUGCUGUUCAGAUGGCCCAGGUGAAAGCCAGUGAGGGCCUAGACUGAGCAGACGUGGUGGGAUGGAGGGGCCCCAGGAGACAGCUCUGGAUUUGGCAGUUGCGGGGGAGGAGCUAGAACAUUGUGCUUUUACAAGAGUGGGUUAUUUAUCCAAAAACAAACAAAACAAAACAACAGCAACAACAGGGCAUUGCCGCAAGCUGUGGUGUAGGCUGCAGAUGUGGCUCGGAUCCAGCGUGGCUGUGGCUGUGCCGUAAGCCAGCAGCUGCAGCUCCGAUUCGAGCCCAGGAACUUCCAUAUGCCUCAGGUGGGGCCCUAGAAAAGGACAGAAAAAAAAAAAAAUACAAGAAUGGGCUUUGUCAUCAAAAGGUGCUGGCAAGAGCCCCAGCAUCCCUUGACUGACUGGGAAGUAACCAUUUCAAGCCUGCUUCCUGAUCUGGACACUGGGGAUGCAGCAGCAGCAGCAGCUCUGAGCUUGGGAGGAUUAUGGGGGCUACUCAGAGAAGCCUUGGCCUUGGUGGAUGCUCAGAACACAGCAGCAUCAUUUGGAUGGAGGAGGGAGCCAAGGAUAGCUUUCUGUCUGCUUUGACUGACUGGGUAGAGAGAGAUGCCAGCUUUGUUGGCGAGCACAGGAAGGGGCACUUUUGAGGCCACCACAGUCUUGGUGGUCAGUGUCAAAGCCAUGGCCUCGUUCACCCGUCAUCUCCGAUUGUACCUCUGGUCUCGGUCCUUGGCACUCAGCUCAGUGCUCAGGCACAUAGUAGGUGCUGCUCUUGAGGAGCAGGACCCAGCUUGCAGGUAGAGAGGCAGAUAUUACAGGCAGGUAGGGGGGCCCGAACCUGGGAAGGUGAGAGAGCAAAGAAAGGAGUUGGACCUGGGAGGAGGCUCAGGGAAUCCUGACUCUGAGGGGACGGGGAAGAAAGGGCAGGUCAGGAAGGAGGCUGGGAAACAAGAGUGUGGCAGGGGAAGGGAUGGGAGGCAGGAGGCAGGUGGGAGCCUAGGAGGGAAGAAGAGAGAGGUCACAUUUGGCUGAAAAAUCAGUGGAGGAUAAGGCCUGGCAAGUGGCUGAUGGAUUUGGUGUAGAGGAGGUCCCUGGGGAACUUGGCUAAAAGCAGAUUCAAAGGCCAAGAACAGGGAGAGAUGGACUUUAAGGAGAGGGACCCAGGAUACUCCGACCCUCCGGGGUACCAGAACCUUCCUCUCCAUAAGGACAUAUUUUGUUUUGACAGAGCCAUCUAAAGAUAAGCCAGGAGGUCUCUGGAGGUGGUGAACACCCGGUCCCUGGAGGGAGACAAGCAGAGCUCUGAGACCCACGCUGUCCGGGGACAUGCACAUUUAGCAUAGGGAAGGCUGUGCAAAAAAAAUAAAUAAAUAAGCCCCAUGUCCUUCUCAGCUAGGCUUGGCCGAUUCCUUGCAUCACAAAAGCCACCUAGAGGGUCACUCUUGCUAUUUCUAGUGUCCAAAGAGCCUCCCGCAGGGACGCACACACAGGGGUGGUCGUGCACAGACUCCCACAGAUCCACCCCAACACAAAAUAUAAAAUCUAUCUGUAUCUCCUGGUGUAAAGGGAUCCACGGCACGUCUCCCCAGGUUAUUCCCUUAAUUCAUUCCCUUUCCCCUUCUUUCUGCCACUCCGCCGCCACCCCCACCCCCGACCAGCAUCUCUGUGCCUCCAGCCGCAUCUCCUCCGUCGCAUCUCUCCCUGCUUCUCUGGCUCUGCCCUUCCCCACCCCCUCUAGGCCUCUUCAGUCCCCCUCCCUCCUGGGUCCCCCC